CGGGGCGCUGCAGCAGGAGGGAAUAUUGCACAAUGGACGGAAGUCUGAUGCAGCGACGCCGCGUGGAUGAUGAAGGCCCUCGGGUUGUAAAAUCCUUUUCAGGGGGACGAGGAAGGACGGUACCCUUGGAAUAAGCGUCGGCUAACUACGUGCCAGCAGCCGCGGUAAGACGUAGGACGCAAGCGUUAUCCGGAUUUACUGGGCGUAAAGCGUCUGUAGGCGGAAUGGUAAGUUGGACGUGAAAGCUCCGGGCUCAACCCGGAGAGGUCGUUCAAUACUGCCAAACUAGAGGGCAUCAGAGGAGCGUGGAAUUUCCGGUGUAGCGGUAAAAUGCGCAGAUAUCGGAAGGAACACCAAUGGCGAAGGCAGCGCUCUGGGAUGAACCUGACGCUAAGAGACGAAAGCUAGGGGAGCGAACAGGAUUAGAUACCCCAGUAGUC
rnacentral:rRNA from 1 species